GAUGAACGCUGGCGGCGUGCCUAAUACAUGCAAGUCGAGCGAACGGACGAGAAGCUUGCUUCUCUGAUGUUAGCGGCGGACGGGUGAGUAACACGUGGAUAACCUACCUAUAAGACUGGGAUAACUUCGGGAAACCGGAGCUAAUACCGGAUAAUAUUUUGAACCGCCUGGUUCAAAAGUGAAAGACGGUCUUGCUGUCACUUAUAGAUGGAUCCGCGCUGCAUUAGCUAGUUGGUAAGGUAACGGCUUACCAAGGCAACGAUGCAUAGCCGACCUGAGAGGGUGAUCGGCCACACUGGAACUGAGUCACGGUCCAGACUCCUACGGGAGGCAGCAGUAGGGAAUCUUCCGCAAUGGGCGAAAGCCUGACGGAGCAACGCCGCGUGAGUGAUGAAGGUCUUCGGAUCGUAAAACUCUGUUAUUAGGGAAGAACAUAUGUGUAAGUAACUGUGCACAUCUUGACGGUACCUAAUCAGAAAGCCACGGCUAACUACGUG
rnacentral:rRNA from 1 species